UUAAGCGACUAAGCGUACACGGUGGAUGCCCUGGCAGUCAGAGGCGAUGAAGGACGUGCUAAUCUGCGAUAAGCGUCGGUAAGGUGAUAUGAACCGUUAUAACCGGCGAUUUCCGAAUGGGGAAACCCAGUGUGUUUCGACACACUAUCAUUAACUGAAUCCAUAGGUUAAUGAGGCGAACCGGGGGAACUGAAACAUCUAAGUACCCCGAGGAAAAGAAAUCAACCGAGAUUCCCCCAGUAGCGGCGAGCGAACGGGGAGCAGCCCAGAGCCUGAAUCAGUGUGUGUGUUAGUGGAAGCGUCUGGAAAGGCGCGCGAUACAGGGUGACAGCCCCGUACACAAAAAUGCACAUGCUGUGAGCUCGAUGAGUAGGGCGGGACACGUGGUAUCCUGUCUGAAUAUGGGGGGACCAUCCUCCAAGGCUAAAUACUCCUGACUGACCGAUAGUGAACCAGUACCGUGAGGGAAAGGCGAAAAGAACCCCGGCGAGGGGAGUGAAAAAGAACCUGAAACCGUGUACGUACAAGCAGUGGGAGCACGCUUCGGCGUGUGACUGCGUACCUUUUGUAUAAUGGGUCAGCGACUUAUAUUCUGUAGCAAGGUUAACCGAAUAGGGGAGCCGAAGGGAAACCGAGUCUUAACUGGGCGUUAAGUUGCAGGGUAUAGACCCGAAACCCGGUGAUCUAGCCAUGGGCAGGUUGAAGGUUGGGUAACACUAACUGGAGGACCGAACCGACUAAUGUUGAAAAAUUAGCGGAUGACUUGUGGCUGGGGGUGAAAGGCCAAUCAAACCGGGAGAUAGCUGGUUCUCCCCGAAAGCUAUUUAGGUAGCGCCUCGUGAAUUCAUCUCCGGGGGUAGAGCACUGUUUCGGCAAGGGGGUCAUCCCGACUUACCAACCCGAUGCAAACUGCGAAUACCGGAGAAUGUUAUCACGGGAGACACACGGCGGGUGCUAACGUCCGUCGUGAAGAGGGAAACAACCCAGACCGCCAGCUAAGGUCCCAAAGUCAUGGUUAAGUGGGAAACGAUGUGGGAAGGCCCAGACAGCCAGGAUGUUGGCUUAGAAGCAGCCAUCAUUUAAAGAAAGCGUAAUAGCUCACUGGUCGAGUCGGCCUGCGCGGAAGAUGUAACGGGGCUAAACCAUGCACCGAAGCUGCGGCAGCGACGCUGAUGCGUUGUUGGGUAGGGGAGCGUUCUGUAAGCCUGCGAAGGUGUGCUGUGAGGCAUGCUGGAGGUAUCAGAAGUGCGAAUGCUGACAUAAGUAACGAUAAAGCGGGUGAAAAGCCCGCUCGCCGGAAGACCAAGGGUUCCUGUCCAACGUUAAUCGGGGCAGGGUGAGUCGACCCCUAAGGCGAGGCCGAAAGGCGUAGUCGAUGGGAAACAGGUUAAUAUUCCUGUACUUGGUGUUACUGCGAAGGGGGGACGGAGAAGGCUAUGUUGGCCGGGCGACGGUUGUCCCGGUUUAAGCGUGUAGGCUGGUUUUCCAGGCAAAUCCGGAAAAUCAAGGCUGAGGCGUGAUGACGAGGCACUACGGUGCUGAAGCAACAAAUGCCCUGCUUCCAGGAAAAGCCUCUAAGCAUCAGGUAACAUCAAAUCGUACCCCAAACCGACACAGGUGGUCAGGUAGAGAAUACCAAGGCGCUUGAGAGAACUCGGGUGAAGGAACUAGGCAAAAUGGUGCCGUAACUUCGGGAGAAGGCACGCUGAUAUGUAGGUGAGGUCCCUCGCGGAUGGAGCUGAAAUCAGUCGAAGAUACCAGCUGGCUGCAACUGUUUAUUAAAAACACAGCACUGUGCAAACACGAAAGUGGACGUAUACGGUGUGACGCCUGCCCGGUGCCGGAAGGUUAAUUGAUGGGGUUAGCGCAAGCGAAGCUCUUGAUCGAAGCCCCGGUAAACGGCGGCCGUAACUAUAACGGUCCUAAGGUAGCGAAAUUCCUUGUCGGGUAAGUUCCGACCUGCACGAAUGGCGUAAUGAUGGCCAGGCUGUCUCCACCCGAGACUCAGUGAAAUUGAACUCGCUGUGAAGAUGCAGUGUACCCGCGGCAAGACGGAAAGACCCCGUGAACCUUUACUAUAGCUUGACACUGAACAUUGAGCCUUGAUGUGUAGGAUAGGUGGGAGGCUUUGAAGUGUGGACGCCAGUCUGCAUGGAGCCGACCUUGAAAUACCACCCUUUAAUGUUUGAUGUUCUAACGUUGACCCGUAAUCCGGGUUGCGGACAGUGUCUGGUGGGUAGUUUGACUGGGGCGGUCUCCUCCUAAAGAGUAACGGAGGAGCACGAAGGUUGGCUAAUCCUGGUCGGACAUCAGGAGGUUAGUGCAAUGGCAUAAGCCAGCUUGACUGCGAGCGUGACGGCGCGAGCAGGUGCGAAAGCAGGUCAUAGUGAUCCGGUGGUUCUGAAUGGAAGGGCCAUCGCUCAACGGAUAAAAGGUACUCCGGGGAUAACAGGCUGAUACCGCCCAAGAGUUCAUAUCGACGGCGGUGUUUGGCACCUCGAUGUCGGCUCAUCACAUCCUGGGGCUGAAGUAGGUCCCAAGGGUAUGGCUGUUCGCCAUUUAAAGUGGUACGCGAGCUGGGUUUAGAACGUCGUGAGACAGUUCGGUCCCUAUCUGCCGUGGGCGCUGGAGAACUGAGGGGGGCUGCUCCUAGUACGAGAGGACCGGAGUGGACGCAUCACUGGUGUUCGGGUUGUCAUGCCAAUGGCACUGCCCGGUAGCUAAAUGCGGAAGAGAUAAGUGCUGAAAGCAUCUAAGCACGAAACUUGCCCCGAGAUGAGUUCUCCCUGACUCCUUGAGAGUCCUGAAGGAACGUUGAAGACGACGACGUUGAUAGGCCGGGUGUGUAAGCGCAGCGAUGCGUUGAGCUAACCGGUACUAAUGAACCGUGAGGCUUAACCUU
rnacentral:rRNA from 1 species